rnacentral:snRNA from 1 species
AUUGCUUCUCAGCCUUUUGGCUAAGAUCAAGUGUAAUAUCUGUUCUUAUCAGUUUAAAGCAUAGCAGGGACAUUUAGGCAGUGAUUGUAGUUGCCAGGAAUAUAGGCACCAGCUGGAUUCAAAUCCCAGACCUACUGCUUACUAGCUGUGUGAUG